UUUAAAAUGAUUUCAGCUUUUUCUGGAAUUAUUUUGAAACUGAAAAUGAUUUAUUUAAAAUCCCGAAAUUAAGAAAUUCCAAAAUUUUUCCAAACCCUAGACAUAUAUAUAUGCCGGCGUAGCCCUCGACGCGCUGGUUCCAGAAGUACGAUCGCUUUCCCGAGCCGCCUUUCGUAGCGCCGCAGAUCCAUCGCCGAAGUUUCGGAUCUCGUUUCCGGCGAACUUUUCCGGUGAAAGUUCGGCGAGCUUUUCCGGCCAACUCCGGCAUCCACUGCGAAAACCGUCACCGCUGCGAGCACCAUGGCCAGCUAUCUCCUUCGACUCCGGCCGCCCGAUGCCAAUCCAGCCUCCACCCAAUGGCAUCUCCUACGCAUCUCACAGCCCUGUGCUCGUGGCCCCCUUUUUCCCGAGCAGCAGCAGCAGACGUUGCUGCUCAGCCAAGUUGCGGCCAUCGGCCAUGCCCGCGAGCCGUGCGGCCCGUAGUCGGCCCCACCACCGCGGCCCGGUGGGAUAGGCGCGCCGCUGCCACCGCUAGCCUGCUGUCUGGUCGAGCCCCUCCCUUCCCUUCUCGGUGCACAGCAGCUGCUGCUUCCCAUCUCCAACUUGGCCAGCGCCGUUCACGAACAUGACCAAAGGAAGAAGAUGAUGAAGAAGUGUGGUUCGUCAACAGUGAAGAUCAGGCGCUGAGGACCGAUAAUCGAAGCAGAAGUUGGAGAUCGAAAAAAAGAAGCCAAAGAAUUCUGAGCAGAUAAACACUGGGAAUUAAGACAAGUGCAGACACCCUUUGAUCAUAUUGUACCUAUGAACUUUAAAUAUAUUUACUUUCCAUUGCAUGUGUCUUAAUACUGCAAACCAUAAGGACUUGACUAGCCUCCUACUAUAUUCCUUGUAUGCCUGGGUUAUACAUGGGUAGUAUAGUGAACAGUAGAUAUGCUUAGUUGCUCUACUCAUCUAAUCUAUAUAAUAAUAAAAAUAAUGAUCUUGCUUAACAAAUU